CGAGAUAACUGGCUUGCACCUUGUUGGGUUUUUUCAAGGGCAGAGGGGAGAUUCCUGGCGUGCAUCUACUUAAUUUGAAGAAGAACAUCACCUGUCUGUAAUCCACCUGCGUAAGUACUGGUCAAGGGGCUCAUCGGCUAUCAAGUUAUAGAUUUCAGUGGCUAAUAGAAGACACUGCUGAGGUCAGACGAGAGUGCAUCCUCAAAGGUCUGUGUGUACCUAAAUGAAGAUCCAGAGAAGCUGGUGAGGGAGUACAUGGACGUUGAUGAAUGCGCAGAAAUGGCCAAAGCCGAGACUGUCCUCGGAAUCGUCAUUUGAGCAGAGGGUGCAGAGGCUGCCGAUGCACAUCUGGAUGUUGGGAUUGUCCUGGAGGAGGUGGAAGUUAUGAACAGCUUGGGCAGUGUAUCUUCUGCAAUAGUGAUGCUGCUGGGACUAAUC